rnacentral:rRNA from 1 species
AUUGAACGCUGGCGGCAGGCUUAACACAUGCAAGUCGAGCGGGGAGAUGUAGCUUGCUACAUAUCCUAGCGGCGGACGGGUGAGUAAUGCUAGGAAUCUGCCUAUUAGUGGGGGACAACAUUCCGAAAGGAAUGCUAAUACCGCAUACGCCCUACGGGGGAAAGCAGGGGAUCUUCGGACCUUGCGCUAAUAGAUGAGCCUAAGUCGGAUUAGCUAGUUGGUGGGGUAAAGGCCUACCAAGGCGACGAUCUGUAGCGGGUCUGAGAGGAUGAUCCGCCACACUGGGACUGAGACACGGCCCAGACUCCUACGGGAGGCAGCAGUGGGGAAUAUUGGACAAUGGGCGGAAGCCUGAUCCAGCCAUGCCGCGUGUGUGAAGAAGGCCUUUUGGUUGUAAAGCACUUUAAGCGAGGAGGAGGCUCCUUUAGUUAAUACCUAAAGUGAGUGGACGUUACUCGCAGAAUAAGCACCGGCUAACUCUGUGCCAGCCGCCGCAGUAA